rnacentral:rRNA from 2 species
UGGGGAAUAUUGGGCAAUGGGCGAAAGCCUGACCCAGCAACGCCGCGUGAAGGAAGAAGGCCUUCGGGUUGUAAACUUCUUUGACCAGGGACGAAGGAAGUGACGGUACCUGGAAAACAAGCCACGGCUAACUACGUGCCAGCAGCCGCGGUAAUACGUAGGUGGCGAGCGUUGUCCGGAUUUACUGGGUGUAAAGGGCGUGCAGGCGGGAGCGCAAGUCAGAUGUGAAAGCUCCGGGCUCAACCCGGAGACUGCAUAUGAAACUGUGUUUCUUGAGUGAUGGAGAGGCAGGCGGAAUUCCUCGUGUAGCGGUGAAAUGCAUAGAUAUGAGGAGGAACACCAGUGGCGAAGGCGGCCUGCUGGACAUUAACUGACGCUGAGGCGCGAAAGCGUGGGGAGCAAACAGG